rnacentral:lncRNA from 1 species
AUAGUGAGCUUAACUAAUAUAUAAAAUAAUUUACUAAAAUUAUUGAAUUCACAUGAAUAUGUAGCUUACAUAAUAGAUCGUCACCGUCUAAACAUACUAUAAUAUUUGUAUGGUUGUAAAAAUUUAAUACUAUAAAUAAAUUAAAAGUUUAAAAUAAGGUAAUUUUAGAUUUACGUAAGGAACCCCCACUUUCAAUCGAGAGGUUGUGAGUUCGAGUCUCCCCAAGAGUAAGGUGGGAAGUUCUUGGAGGGAAGAAUGCCGGGGUCUAUUUGGAAACAGUCUCUCUAUCCAAGGGUAGGGGUAAGAUCUGCCUACACACUAUCCUUCCCAAAUCUUACUAAAUAAGAUUAUAUUGGAUUGUUGUUGUUUGUUUGAUUUAUCAUUCUUGUAAGA